CGCUGAAAGCUUGUGUCCAGGGAGAAGAAGAAAAGGGUCCGAACCCUCGUUCCAAGUUCAAGGUGCCGUAACUUUUCGAUCCGAGCUCCGACCGUCGCACCGUUUGCGGUCACGCGUCUACCGCGUCGAGCUUUACAUUUCUACCGGAACAAUUUCAUAGGAUCCAAUUAGCUUGAGGGAAACGUUUACUCUUGCUUAUGUGAAGCUUGGGUAAGAUGCAGGUCGAGAGGCAUCUCGUUAGGCGUCUGGACCCUUGAAGCGGAGUGGUUACAGGGUUAUUUUGUUAUGCUAUGAUGUGUAUAUAUGUACUUGGUUUUCUCUCCGCAUAACUUGUUCUUUUGAUCCUCUUAGAGGUUUAUGGAGAGGCAGGAUUGUGUAUAUGUACUUUUGGGUU